GACAGAGGGUGCAAACGUUGCUCGGAAUUACUGGGCGUAAAGCGCGUGUAGGCGGCUCGGAAAGUCGGGCGUGAAAGCCCCAGGCUCAACCUGGGAACUGCACCCGAAACUCCCGGUCUUGAGUGGUGGAGAGGGAAGUGGAAUUCCUGGUGUAGAGGUGAAAUUCGUAGAUAUCAGGAGGAACACCAGUGGCGAAGGCGGCUUCCUGGACACCAACUGACGCUGAGACGCGAAAGCGUGGGGAGCAAACAGG
rnacentral:rRNA from 1 species